rnacentral:misc_RNA from 1 species
UGUAUCAACUUUCUGCUUUAUAUAGAAUCUGUGAUAAGUAAGGAGGAAACUGCCAAAAUACAAGCUUUUCUUGAAAAUGAACAGAAACGAAAAAUGCGAUUUAAAGGGAAAAAUCCUGCACGAGUGAAAAAUAUUGGACGUUUUCAAAGACCACAUCAAACAUUUUCAGGCAUGCCAGCUCAGCAAACACAGUAUGCACCGUCUAAUACUUCUCAGAUGGCUCCAACUACUUCUACACAACCCCGCAAAAUUCUUAUUAAUCCUCACUUCAGAGGAUUGCGUUUACCUCCACCUACUUCAGACCAAGUUCACACCAUAGAAGAAACUCCACAGGUAUCAGUGCCACCUGUAAGCUAUGAAACAUCCCAAAAUUUUCCACCUCCUACUUAUUCUCAUGAACUUCCUCCUCAAAUGCCAGCUGCACCACCUGUUUUCAGUACUCCCCCACCUUCAGUUCCAUAUAAACAGCCAGAUUAUUCAUCAUCUCAUAUCCAACAGCCUCCACCAUCAAUGUGGCCAACUACACCAGAUAUGACUCCUAACACAUACACAGCUCCUCCUCCUGUUUUAAACUACACAGAUCAUUUAACACAGGUGCCACCAAAUUAUCAUAGUAACUAUACUCUUAAUAAUUUUCCAACUACAAGUUAUCAAAGCACUCCAGUGCCUUUGCCUCAGACAGUUAACUAUAGUCAGAUGCCACCACCCAUUCAUGUUCAGUCUUCAUCUUAUGCCCCACCACCUGUAGUUAGUGCACCACCAACCUAUGUGACAGCGAUGCAUUAUUCAAAUAACCAGCAAAGAUCUCAAGAACUAAAUUUUCACCAGCAGUAUCAUGAUCAUGGGAAAGCACAGCAUUCAACGACUCAACAUAUUCAGAGAAACAAAUUUUCUCAAAAUCAGCGGUUCUCUAGGCCUGAGAAAAGACCUUCUAAUUCCAAUAUUAAGGCAGUACCUAUAAAGCAGCUCCGCAUGGAACAUCCUCAAAAAAAAACAAAUAUUCAUGUAAAUAAUUCAAAUAUCAGAGAAAUUCCUCUUGUCGACACAUUGCCUUCUACUACUGUUAAAGAGGAAGUGAAGAAACCUGUUCCUAUAGUAGAAGAAGAGGAUGAAAAAACCAAAGAAUUAAGAAUGAAAAUUGAAGAACAGAAACUACUUAGAGCACAAAUAUUAAAGCAUAAAGAAGAGCGACGGCGGCAAAUGGCUGCUCAAAGACUUUUGGAGCUGAAAAAAAGACAAGCUGAGCAAAAUAAAAAUAUUGUGACUAUCACUCAAAAACCAGAACAGCAAAAUUUAAUAAAAGUCCCCCAGGCACAAGUUGCACUCCAAACUAAAAUUAGUGUUAAGGAACGAAUAGGAUUACCACCAAAUAAGACUGCAGUUCCUAUGAAGAAAAAAAUUAUUGUUGUAAGGAAAAAGGUUCCUCCAGUUUCUAACACUGCUGCUGUUCCACCUGAAGCAAAAAAUAUACCAAAUGUUGGACAAAAACGAGGUUUGCAGACUGUUACACAAUCCCAAAAGAUGCAAUUACAAAAUAAAACUGCUGGAAUGAAACCAAAUAAAGUAUCUAAACCUAGUGUUGUUUCUACUCAACCAGUGCAAGACUCAUCAGUGCAGAAAAAUUUGCCUGAAAAUAAAUCUGAAACUGCUAAACCUGAGAUGAAAGUUAAUGUAGUUGCUAAUGAAAAGAAGUGUAAUCAAGUUGCUUCACAGCCUCCAAAAGGGAAAAUGAUACGUCUUCCAACACGAAGACAGCCCUUUCAAAGACCACCUUUUCAUGCUCCAUUGAAUAUUCCCAAUCAGAGAAUGCCUGGACCUAGGUUUGCUGGGCCAAGGGGUCCACAAUUCCAUUCGCCUCCUUUUAUGGAACAUCGAAUGAGAUUUCCUGGCCAUGGCCCUCCCAUGAAUGAUAUGCGAAUGCCUCCCCCUCCAUUUCAAGAACCUCGUCCACCUAUAUUACCAUAUAUGCCACCUGGUGAACGUGGUCCUUUCAACCAGUUUUUUCCACCAGAUGGUCCAUUUGAAGGAAAUAAACCCCCUUUUCGUAUGAGAGCUCCAGGAUUUCAAAACUUUCCUCCAAGGAGCAUGGAUAUGUUCCGUGAAAGAUUCCCUCCACCCCAGUUUCCAAACCAGAUGCCACCAAUGCGGCAAAUGUUUGAAAGGAAUGGUCCAGGGUUUCAGAGACCUCGCUUUCAAAAUUUAAAUGCAAAGAAAAAGCCACUGCCUGCAAAGCCAAUUCCCAAUCAGCAAAAACCUUCAAAUGGUUACAAAAGUACACAGCCCAAAGAAUUGAGUGUUGCUAGUGAUUCACAAGUAGUAGCAAACCAAAAUACUGCACCAAAACAAGUCAUUACACUUACAACAAAAAGUUCAGAGGAGAAGCAGGUUAUAAAACUGAACACAAAAAGUGUCUUAUCUGAGAAUCUAAAUAUUCCAAAAACACAGUCAGUCUCAGUUGAAAAUUUAUCCUCUUCAACAAAUGAAAUGCAGUUAAAGAAACUGUGCUCAUCAGUUGGUGUUGUAGAGAAUAUUCAGCUCUUGAAAGCUGAACGAAAAGCCAUAAUUAAGUUCAAGGAACCUAUACAAGCACUUAAUUUUCAAAAGAAGUACCAGAGGUAAUAUCACUUAUUAUGAAUUAUAUGAUAAAUAUGAAUAAACACCUGAUGGAACAUUAUGAUCAUUAUUCAACUAACAUUCCAUGUUUUCUGAAGCCCUAAAGAAGAAUAGUGAAGUUAUUGUUUUGAAUUGCAUUAAGCAUUUUGAUGCAAAACAGUGACAGUUACACUUGAGGAAUAAAUACAAGUUGUGAUGUCUACAAGGAUGUUAAUCAAUUGCAAUGUCUGACAUAAAUUUGAAGUCAUGAAAAGCAAUGAUUGUGAAUCUUCAGACCACCUAGUUUUCUUCUGUGUGUAAGAAAAUGACUAUAUAUCUAUAUUGACUGUGAUAUGUUCAGCAUAAUAAACUGUGAUAUGAUUAUUUUAUGACUGUGAUAUAUUAAGCAUGUAUUAUUAUUUUUAAAAGUUUAACUUUGGAUGUAAAGUAUUUUGAAGGCAAACUUUUCUUAGACAAAUAUAUCUGUAAAAUACCUGAAACAUAUGAAUUCAUAAACAUCCAUUCAUCAUGUUUAUAAUCUUUGAUUGUUGCAUGCAGCUGUUAUUUUAUGCAUAUUUUUAAUACGUUUUGUACAUAUAUGCAUAUAUAUUUAUUCCUUAAUAAAUAUUGUAUGUAUUUGUUGAAUUUUAUUAAAUAUAUAAUUUGUUGGCUUA